CAUAAGAAACAUGCCAGUAUGUUUCACACACAGGGACAUCCACUCACAGAUGCAGAUGUUCCUACGUGAAGAAGAGUCUGCUUCUAGGAAAGAGGACUAAAGGACCAGAGUUUGUGGUGUCAUUGGAGUGGUGUAUCAACAUGAAAGAGAAUCUUCAAAAGAAAAAAUACCCAUCCCAGCACCCUCACAGGAUAAAUGCUAUCGCUUGCACCUUGUUCCUGACGUUAUUUAAAGUUGGCUGUGAUUAUGGGUUGUGCACAUCAUGUGGAUCAGGCUUUGUCGUGGGAGGGAGGCGUCCUGCCUCAUUGGGGACCAAACCAACAGGACAUGAUGAUGUGCAGAUGAGAAUCCUGUGCCUGGGAGUCGCCUCUCUCUGUUUUUUUCCAUAAACCAAGAGUCAGAGAGAUAGAUGUGGAUUUUCUUAGUAGUUUCUCCUCUUCCCAGGCAAUGUGCUAUUAUUAGAAUAGCCAGACUGGCCCGUAUAUAAAAAGAAGCCUAUUUGCUUGAGUUCUUCGAAGACCUGGGAGUUCAAAGUGCUUUGAAAUUAAAGGGAAAAAGUUAAAAGCAUUUUCUUACUCGAAGUCAUGGUUAGUAAACAUGUAGGGACCUUACAAAGGGUGGCAAAUGCCAACUCGUCUGUGUCCGCAUUGUUUAUGGCAUAGAUCACCAUUUGACAUCCGCUAAGCUGGGCAAGUGUCCUGACUGGGUGACAAAGGAGUAAGAGUUUAGGCUUGAGUCACACGGCUGGGUUCAAAUUGCACUUAUCAGUGUGAGCUUGGAAAAGCUAUUAACCUUCUCUGAACCUCAGUUUUCACAUCUAUACAAUAGGGUUGUUAUUAACUCCUACACUUGCAAGAUUCAAUUUAGGUAAUAUGUAUGAAACUGUGUAGUUUAGGAGACUACAUACAAAGAUUAACUUUAUUAUCAGCCCACUAUUAACUAUUGUUAUUUUACUACUAAUAAGCGUACUGUGGCUGUCUUUACUUGGGGAACAUAGGCCACAGCUUGCUGACUGGAAAGAACAUUACACUGGGCUCUUGGCAGAAGCUGUCCUUUCCUACAGUGGAGGGAUGGGUUGAAUUGAGUCUUCCAAAAAGAUAAAUUGAAGUCCUGACCUUUAGGACUUUAGAAUGUUAUCUAAUUUGGAAAUAGGGUCCUCGGAGAUGGAAUCCAGUUAAAAUGAGGUCUUUCUGAGGAGGUUAAUCCAGGAUGACUGGUGUCACUAAGAAGGGACAUAGGAAGAGAGAUGCCAAGCAAAGACCAUGUGACCUUGGAGGCAGAGGCUGGAGUGAUGGCGCUCCUGGCCACACCAGAAGCUGAGAGAGGCAUGGGACAGACAGUAAGGCCCUGCAGACACCUUGACUUCAGACUUCUAGAAGCUUCUAGAACUGAGACUGAGAGAAACAAUGCAAAAAAAAAAAAAAAA